AUGCUAGAUACCACAGAAUGAAUCAAGACAGCCAGAUAUUCUUAGACUAUCAAACCCAAGAAAAAAGCUAUCAAUAAAACGACCUCAGAUGUUUGUGUACAUUUGUACAAAGAACGGAUAAAAAGCAAACUGAACUGGAGAACCUAGAGCUAGAAAGCAAAUCUGACCUCAAAGAUAUCAUUGAGAUUUGGUAGAAUAACACUCAAGGCUCAGUAGAGAAGUGGUUCACAUUCUGAUAACCUAAGUAUAUGUGCUAUGCUUCUGGAAGGAUACACCUUACUUAAAAGCUGAAUAGGGUGUGUGUGUGUGUGUGUAAGAAGUUGUUGUAAAUUGAAUCUAAUGACAUCCUCAUAGGAGAACAUCUAGGGAUUAGGGGGUGUACGUAUGAUGGCAAGUAUUUGAAAGAGCAUCCACAGAGAUAGAAAGAGAAGCACAUGAAUGGAAAGAAAAUUAAAUGAUGCAUUUGAAAAUCAAGUCACAAGCCUGGUAUGGAAGCAUGGAACUGUAGCAGUGGAUGACUACAAAUAACAGACAUCUACAGAGUUCCCUCUGCCCAAAGCGGCACAGCUAACUUUUUGGCUUCUUUUAAUAAAUUCAUCCUUCAAAAGGAGUUGGAACCAACAGCGGAGAAAGUUCUAUUCUGAAUGUGAUUCUCAUCAACAAGGCAGAGUUACUGCAUUAACAGUGAUGAGAAGUGGCCAAUUGGGAAGAAUUGACUGAUCCAUCUUAGCAUUUGAUAAAGAAGAACCAAGGCAGGAAGAAUUUGACAUGAAGUUUAGAUUUGGGGAAAGCAGAUUUCAAAAGGUUAGAAAAAGAAUAGCUGGGGAUCUUUGGAAUUCAACUUGGAAAAGAAGAAAAGCUCUCACAAAUAAAAUUCUGAAAUAAAAAUAAUAAAAUAAAACUUUUUUUAAAAUAAUGAAAUUCUUGACGACACCAAGAAAAAUAAUUGUAAUGAGGAGAAAGAAUUGCUUGGGAAACACGGUUUUAAAAGACAUGUAAGAAAAAAGCAAAAACAAGUAACAAAAGAAACUACAAAAAGAGAACUAGUCUUGUCAAAAUAGUGCAAAAUCUCAGAAGGAGCUGAGGCUGUUGAGAUAAACUGAUGACAAGGAUGACAGCUUGGAGAGAGGUGGAAAAGCAAAGAAGAGAUAAGACCGGCACCAUAUUGGGGCAAUGCUAAUAGAUAGUCACAGCUACUCAACUCAUAUUUGAUUUCUUUGUUCUUGGUCAGAGUGUUUGUUUGGACUUGACAAGGAUUGAACAAAGCUGAUAAGAAGUUAAUACCCAAGAUAAGAAAAUGGCAAGGAAACAUCUAGCUGCCUUUGAUGAAUCCAAAAACGAAGGAAGGGCAGAUGAAAAAUAGCUAAUACAACUGAGCCACUAUCUCUGAUCAUUUUAAUUUUAUGGAUAAGGGAAGAGGAACUCUAAGAUUGGAAAAGGACAAGAUAUUGAUUUUUAAGCAGAAGAAAAUAAUUGAACUUGCAAUCCAUAGACCAAUGAGCUUGACCUUGAUUCUGGGGGAAAUUCUAUAACAUAAAAAAGAGCAGAACUCUAGAAAUGGGAGCGGUGAUUAUUCAUACAGUCUUGACCAACUUUAUCAAAUGCGAUAUCUAAAAGCUAUUUUUUGAUGAUUAAGUGGUCAAAGGAUAUGAUUGCACAGUACAAAAAAGGGGGUGGCUCUCCACAGCUAUAUGAAAACAUGUUCCAGGUCACUAAAAAGAAGAGAAAUAUAGAUGAGAAUUCAAAUCCUUCAAAUUGACAAAUAUAAGAGAUGGAAAUAAGUCAAUGUUGGAAGGACUGUGGCUAGACAGGCAUGAAACUGCAUUGGAAAAAACAUUUUGGAACUAUGGGAGAAAAGUGAUUUAACUAUUCAUAUCCUUUGAUACCGCAACCCAUUAUUGAGUAUAUGUCACAAAGAAGUCCAUGACAGACACAUCCUAUAUCCAAUGCAAUGGAUACAACAUAUCUGGUGCUUAAAAAUGUUUGCUGGCUUCAAUUGGAAGCAAAAUCUAAAAACCGUCAGACUUCAGUUUCAGGGCAGUGGCCAUCCAGUCUUGUUUCUGAGGUCAGGGGAUGAAUUACAUGUCCCUUCUUUUUGGGGUCAGGAAUUACAACUGCUCUGAAUGUUGUGCACGCUAUCAGAUGUGGGUGCUGUAUUGUGACUCAUUCUUUCUCUUUAUUGUGAGGAUUCUUUGGGGGAGGGAAUUAUUUGUGAAGCGGCUGGGAUAUUGAAAGCAGAAAGUAUUCAUUAAACAUUAAGAAGCAAAGAGAACAGGUUAUGCCAGACUAAUCUAAUUUUCCUUUUUGAUAAGGUUACUAGACUAGUAGAAAAGUGGAAUGUUAUUCAGAGAGUUGACUUAGCUUUUAGUAAUGCACUGGCCAGCCUCCUGUGCUAUUCUUGUGGCAGAGAUGGAGGGGUGUGGGGUAAACAAUAUGGCUAAGUGAAUUAGCAGCCAGUUGAGUGGUCAGACCCAGAGCUUCGUCUCCAGUGGUUGAUGUCCACUAGCAAGGUCUCUGAUGGAGUGCCCUGGGGAGCUGUCCUUAGUGCUGAACUGUCUAACAUUUUGGGUAAUUACUAAAGAUGGUGUGCUCGUGAAAUCUGCAGACAGCACAAAGCUGGGAGAAGCAGCUAACACUUGAUGACAGAAUCAGGAUCCAAAAAAAAAAAAAAAAAAAUCACGAUAGGACAUUGAGCCAAAUAAAAGAUGAGAUGUAACAGGGAUACGCUUCUAUAUUAUUAUAUUUGGGAGGAUGCAAAAAAAAAAAUCAUCACAAGAAAAAAAUGAGGGAGAUGGUGCUAGGUAACAGUUUCUCUAUAAAGAUCUGUUGUUUUUUAAUUUUAAACUGUAAGAUCUGCCAUACAGCCAAAGAAGCCAAUUUGAUUUUAAUCUCUUGUUAGUUCAGAUUAAGGGAAGUGAAUGAGAAUCCUGUUGUACUAUGUUCUGCUCAGAUCACUUCUGGAGUAAUAUGGGGGUAUGGUAUGGUCUGGUAUGGUCACCAGAGGCUGGAGAUCAUUCAGAGGAAGGUGAUAGGACAGAAAAAGGCUAACCCAAUUAUGGGAAUUGAUUGAAGGAAUUGAGAACAGUCCAUUUAGAGAAGAGGUUUGGUUGUGAAGGGCAUAUGAGUGCUGUCUUUAGGUAUCUGAAAGGCUGAAUCAAAAUUAGCUUAGUUCUGCUCAGCUUGAAGGAGCAAUGGGUCAAAGGCCAAUCGAGAUGGUAGGAGAGCCAAACUUCCUCCAGAUAUGGAAAGGGCUGCCUUGGAUGGAGAUUCUCCUCAUCAGAGGUCACUGACCCUUUGUCUUUCAUGCUAAAAAGAGGGUUCUUUUCUGCUCCUGGUUGAGCACGAUCACUCGGAGGUUGGAAGUCCCUUAGAUUCUGGGGUUCUGUGAGCCUCUGGCAACUCCAUGUUUUCAUACAACCCUAAUUACAGCUAAACCCUCAUGCAUGACUCGCUGAGUUUGUUGUGACAUCUGUUGUUGAUGUUCUCCAAGUAUGUGUCUAACAUGGCAACAAACUGGAGCAAUGGAUAGAGUUAGAAAGAGCUGAGUUCAAAUCCUGCUUCAUACACUAGAAGAAUGACCCUGAUCAAGUCAUUUAACUUUUGCCUCAGUUUCCUCAUCUGUAAAUUGAAGAUCAUAGUAGACUUUUCACAAGGUCUUUAAACUUUAAAAGCACUAUAUAAAUGCUAGCUAUUAUAUGAGGAAAGUGUGACAAUGGAGGUCAAGGAAGCAUCAGAGAGCACUCCUGUUUCUCCCAGGGCUACCACAGCUAGGCCCUUCAAGGGGCUAGAAAGCCAUUCUUUCCCUAUUUGCAAAGGAGCCAUUUGAUACUUUGGGACUACAAAAUGUCAGCUUGAUCCCCGGGCAACUCAAUGGUUAUUGAGUGAUGAUGUAGUAAAGGCUUGCUCUGUGCCUAGCACUGUGCUGUGUUGGAAAUAGACAAAAAAUACAGUCCCUCCCUCAAAAUACUCAGAGUUUGGGAGGAGAGAGAACAUGUAAACAACUGUGACUCUUCAAAAUAUAUACAGGGCAGAGGCAAAGGGGGAAGAGAUGCUGGCUGGGGAGCUCCGCUGGCAUUGGGAGACAUGGUGGAAACAGCUGCCCCAACCCCUCAGUGGGUCUAAAUCCAAACUCCAUCACCUUGUCCCUCCUCCCUAGGAUGAUUUGUCCCACCUGCUGCGUUGUGGAGGGUGGGAACCCAUCUUGGGCUGCUUAAUCCUAGAAUUCAGAACCAGAGAGAGCUCGGACAGCAGCCAGUCAGUCCCCUUGCUUUGGAGAUGAGGAAACGGGAGCCCCCGGACCCGCGACUGCCCCAAGUCCCGCUCUCCUCCCACCGGGCUUGCAUUUGCCCUCCCUCCCUGGGCUGCGGGGUCCGCCCAGACCCACAGGGCGAGGGCAUGCAAUCCCAGCACCCCCCGCGCACCGAUGUUCCCAAGGACUUUCCGCACGAUCCCCUUGGGGAGCGGUCCGGAGGGACGGUCACUCCCAUUUUCCGGAGGGAGGAAGCUGAGGCUCGGUCACUGGCUCCUGCCCUUUGCUUGUGCCAGUCUGAGAGUGGGGCCGGCCGGGGAGGACGGAUUUGUGAAGCCCCGGCGGCUGCCCCGCUCCCUGGAGCCAUGGCCUCCGACCCCGGCCCUCGCUCCCCACUAUGCUGCCUCUUACGGGAGGAGAGGAGCGGCUGGGCGCCUGCGGGGGGAGCGCGGCGGGGGGCUCUCCUACAGCGGCAGAGGAGAGCUCCGCGGGAAAGCUUGGGGAGCCGUUUGUGACUGCGUCAGCCCGGAGGCCCCUGACGGGGAGAGAGGAGGGAGAGGGGGGGACCAUCGCGGAGACAUCGGCUCCGGUCCUUUAGAGAGAAGUUGGGGCUGGGGGAGGGGGCCGGUCUCUGCCCUGUGGGGAGGGGAAGGCGGGGCCCCGGCCCCCGAGGGGCAGAGGAAGGACAGGUGGAGCCGGUGGCAUCGAUCGAAGUAACCUGACUCCGGUGGGGGGGGAGGGCGAGGAUGCGGAGGCCCAGGGGGAGGGAUCCGCAGCCUCCUCAGAGGGCAGGAGCCGGGCCGAGGCAGACACAGCCGCCGCCGCCGCGCGCUGGGCCCAUUCAUUUUUCAUGAGCUCCCCGUAGCUCUGCGGAGAGCGGUGAGCGGCGCUGGCCGGACCGCGGGGGGAGGGGGGAGGCCCAGGCCCUGCUCCGACCUCCAGCUCUGCCCCUCGGCGCCCCCCUCCCUCCGGGCAUGAGGACACUGUCCCGUGCCCCCCAAGCCCCCGGGACGGGGAGGCCUCCCCAUGCCUCUGGUGAUGGAGAUGGAGUCGAGCCCAGACAAUAACAGCUGGGUGGAAGAUCAGUGGGAACGCUGGCUCACGCACGACAUCAGCCUAGAGGAGUUUGAGGAUGAGGACCUCUCGGAGAUCACGGAUGAAUGCGGCAUCAGCCUGCACUGCAAGGACGCCCUGGCCCUACGGGUGAGCCCGGGGAGGGGGCAGGGGGCGCCGGGGGUCAGCUCCCA
ensembl:lncRNA